rnacentral:rRNA from 1 species
UACGGAGGGUGCGAGCGUUGUCCGGAAUCAUUGGGCGUAAAGCGCGUGUAGGCGGCCCGGUAAGUCCGCUGUGAAAGUCGGGGGGCUCAACCCUCGGAUGCCGGUGGAUACUGUCGGGCUAGAGUACGGAAGAGGCGAGUGGAAUUCCUGGUGUAGCGGUGAAAUGUGUAGAGAUCGGGAGGAACACCGGUGGCGAAGGCGGGUCUCUGGGCAUUUCCUGACGCUGAGGCGCGAAAGCGUGGGGAGCAAACGGG